rnacentral:rRNA from 1 species
CCUACGUGUGGCAGCAGUGGGGAAUAUUGGACAAUGGGCGAAAGCCUGAUCCAGCCAUGCCGCGUGUGUGGAGAAGGCCUUCGGGUUGUAAAGCACUUUCAGUGGGGAAGAAAGCCUUGGGGCUAAUACCCUCGAGGAAGGACAUCACCCACAGAAGAAGCACCGGCUAACUCCGUGCCAGCAGCCGCGGUAAUACGGAGGGUGCGAGCGUUAAUCGGAAUUACUGGGCGUAAAGCGCGCGUAGGCGGUCUGAUAAGCCGGUUGUGAAAGCCCCGGGCUCAACCUGGGAACGGCAUCCGGAACUGUCAGGCUAGAGUGCAGGAGAGGAAGGUAGAAUUCCCGGUGUAGCGGUGAAAUGCGUAGAGAUCGGGAGGAAUACCAGUGGCGAAGGCGGCCUUCUGGACUGACACUGACGCUGAGGUGCGAAAGCGUGGGUAGCAAACAGGAUUAGAUACCCGAGUAGUC